AGUGAACGCUGGCGGUAGGCCUAACACAUGCAAGUCGAACGGCAGCACAGUAAGAGCUUGCUCUUACGGGUGGCGAGUGGCGGACGGGUGAGGAAUACAUCGGAAUCUACUUUUUCGUGGGGGAUAACGUAGGGAAACUUACGCUAAUACCGCAUACGACCUACGGGUGAAAGCAGGGGAUCUUCGGACCUUGCGCGAUUGAAUGAGCCGAUGUCGGAUUAGCUAGUUGGCGGGGUAAAGGCCCACCAAGGCGACGAUCCGUAGCUGGUCUGAGAGGAUGAUCAGCCACACUGGAACUGAGACACGGUCCAGGCUCCUACGGGAGGCAGCAGUGGGGAAUAUUGGACAAUGGGCGCAAGCCUUAUCCAGCCAUACCGCGUGUGCGAAGAAGGCCUUCGGGUUGUAAAGCCCUUUUGUUGGGAAAGAAAAGCAUCAGGUUAAUACCCCGCUGUUCUGACGGUACCCAAAGAAUAAGCACCGGCUAACUUCGUG
rnacentral:rRNA from 1 species